rnacentral:rRNA from 1 species
AACGAACGCUGGCGGCGUGCCUAACACAUGCAAGUCGAACGGGAUUAAGGAGCUUGCUCCUUAAUCUAGUGGCGCACGGGUGAGUAACGCGUAGAUAAUCUGCCUGAUGAUCUGGAAUAACACUUCGAAAGGGGUGCUAAUACCGGAUAAGCCCACGAGUACUUUGGUGCUUGCGGGAAAAGGAGGGGACCUUUUGGCCUUCCGUCAUCAGAUGAGUCUGCGUACCAUUAGCUAGUUGGUAGGGGAAAGGCCUACCAAGGCGACGAUGGUUAGCUGGUCUGGGGGGAUGAUCAGCCACACUGGAACUGAGACACGGUCAGACUCCGACGGGAGGCAGCAGUGGGGAAUUUUGCGCAAUGGGCGAAAGCCUGACGCAGCAACGCCGCGUGAGUGAUGAAGGCUUUCGGGUCGUAAAGCUCUGUCAGGGGGAAAGAAGUGUAUUGUGGUUAAUACCCAUGAUACUUGACGGUACCCCCAAAGGAAGCACCGGCUAACUCCGUGCCAGCAGCCGCGGUAA